UUACCUAACAAAGAAAGAGUAGCAUUUUUGGUAGAGAGUAAAAAGGUGAAAAGUAAAAAGCAAAAGAAAGAAAAAGAAAAAGAAAAAGAAGUUUUAAAAUUCUGCAUCAUUCUCAUUGAAAGAAAUGACAGAAAAGGGAGAAGAAAAGGUAACCUUUUAGAACUGGAGUUUCUAAUGAACUCCAUCUCAUAUUUAUUGUCAAUUUAUAUACUAGAAAAGGCGAUUACACAAAGAAAGUACAUCACAUGAAGAAAAUCAGUGAGAAAAACCAGAUCGAUCCGCCGGUAAUAGAUGGAGUUCAUACAGACAAAGGCUUAGUAACGUUGAAUUCGAGUCCCCAGAGCUCGAAAGUUCCGUUAAUGAAGUCGUAGUGACCACCCUUGAGGCCAAGAGUUCCAUUCACCAAACCAUCCCUAACAAAUGGAUAGGUUAGCAGAUUCCCAAGUGAUACAGCAACUGCUUCCUGCAUUUUCCAAUAA
rnacentral:lncRNA from 1 species